rnacentral:tRNA from 1 species
AUAUAAAUAGUUUAAAGAAAACAUUGAUUUGUGGAGUCAAAGAUUUGAAAUUUAAGUAUCAAUUUGUAUA